GUAAUUUUGUCCGACGUUGAAAUCUCGCGGGACAAAGACGCCCGCAGCCUUGAGAGCGAGGCGGCGCAGUUCCUCACCACUGGCUGCGGAAGCGAAAUGCUCCUACUGUAACUAACCUGCACACUAAUGAUGUGGUGGUGACAGUGCAGACUCAGGGAGGAGGCAGAGAAGGAGAGAAAGAGACACAAGAGUUACAGAGCCAGGGCCCUCGAGCAAGGCAGCCAACGAGGAGAGCAGAGGUGAAGAGGCAGAAGUACCAGUACAAGAAGAGGUCGAGGACCAUGAAAGCAGCACAGAUGAGGAGGAAGCAGCUAUGGACAGUCAAUGUCAGGGACAAAGUGAGGCUCCGACACAGGAUGCCACAGAUACUGAGCCACCUGUAGUGGUGUCUGAGGUAGAAGAUCUGCUAUCACUUGACCCAGGGUUGUUCCCAGCUAGGAUGAGUGACAAGGACAGGGCAACUAUUGUAAAGAAAUUAGCAAUGCGAGAAACAGAUCAAGAAUUUCCACAUGAUUCAAAGGGAAAGAGAUUUCCAGAUUACUUGAAAUACACCAAAGCAGAUAAGGGUAGAGGAAAAGUGAAAAGGAACUGGUUGAUUCACAGUGAAAGUGCAAAUGCACUGUUCUGCAUACCAUGUGUUCUUUUCUCCAAAGAGUAAAAAAUACCCUCUCUUAGUGCUUUGAGUAGUGACCAGGGAUACAAGAUGUGUGACGUCGAGUGGCGUCGCAUGUAUGAUAAAUUCCCAAGCCAUGAAACAAGUAGGAAUCACAGGGACUGUUAUUUGCGAUGGAAACACCUACAGUGUUCGGUUAUGACUGCAUGUGGCGUUGAUCAUCAGUUGCAGAGAGAGCUACAGUCUGAAAUUGAGAAAAACAAAGCUAUCUUGCAGAGACUCCUUGAUGUCAUUCUGCACUUGGCAACGAGGAAUUUAGCUUUCCGAGGUAAAACGCAUGCUUUGGGCGAUGUCCACAAUGGAAAUAUUGUAGGUACGCUAGAACUUUUGUCACGAUAUGAUCCACUCUUGAAAGACCACUUAGACAAAAUCAGGACAUCCAAAAAAGGAAGCCAGCUAACUCAUUAUCUGAGCCCAGACAUCCAGAACGAGUUUAUUGAAUUGUGUGGGGGAAAGGUUUUAAAAACUAUUCUGACAGAAAGGGAGAAUGCCAUAUACUAUGGAAUCAUUUGUGAUGCAACGCCUGACAUUUCCCACACCGAGCAAAAUGUUGUGCUUAUAAGAUAUGUACAUUAUAAUGAAGACACAGGCGAAUGGGAGAUUACUGAAAGAUUUAUUGAAUUCAAAGAUUUCAACGGAAAAACAGGAUGUGAAAUAGCAGGCAUGAUGGAGAGUGUGCUUCUGGAUCUAGGGAUAGACAUUAGUGAUUGCAGGGGGCAAGGAUAUGAUAAUGGGGCGAAUAUGUCAGGGAAAAUCAAGGGAGUCCAAGCCCAAAUACU